UACGAGGGGGGCAAAUGUUGUUCGGAAUCACUGGGCGUAAAGGGAGCGUAGGCGGGUUUUUAAGUCAGGUGUUUAAUCCCGGGGCCCAACCCCAGACCGGCACUUGAAACUGGGAAUCUUGAAUAGGGGAGAGGUCAGUGGAAUUGGAGGUGUAGCGGUGGAAUGCGUAGAGAUCUCCAAGAACACCAGUUGCGAAGGCGGCUGACUGGACCCAUAUUGACGCUGAGGCUCGAAAGCAUGGGGAGCAAACAGG
rnacentral:rRNA from 1 species